GACAGAGGAGCCAAGCGUUGUCCGGAUUGACUGGGCGUAAAGCGCACGCAGGCGGAUGCGCGCGUGGGGUGUGAAAUCUGGCCGCUUAACGGCCAGGCGCCAUCCCAUACGGCGCGUCCGGAGUGAUGCAGAGGUCGAUGGAAUUGCCGGUGUAGUGGUGAAAUGCGUAGAGAUCGGCAGGAACACCCAGGGGGAAACCAGUCGACUGGGCAUCUACUGACGCUGAGGUGCGAGAGCGUGGGGAGCGAACAGG
rnacentral:rRNA from 1 species